ACUCCUACUGGAGGCAGCAGUGAGGAAUUUUCCGCAAUGGGCGAAAGCCUGACGGAGCAAUGCCGCGUGAAGGAUGAAGGCCUAUGAGUUGUAAACUUCUUUUCUCAGAGAAGAAAUUUUGACGGUAUCUGAGGAAUAAGCAUCGGCUAACUCUGUGCCAGCAGCCGCGGUAAUAC
rnacentral:rRNA from 1 species